rnacentral:tRNA from 1 species
GUUGUGGCUUAAUGGUAAAGCACUUGCCUGGAAUGUGUGAGGCCCUGGGUUUGAGCCUCAGCACCACA